ACGUAGGUGGCGAGCGUUAUCCGGAAUUAUUGGGCGUAAAGAGCGCGCAGGUGGUUGAUUAAGUCUGAUGUGAAAGCCCACGGCUUAACCGUGGAGGGUCAUUGGAAACUGGUCAACUUGAGUGCAGAAGAGGGAAGUGGAAUUCCAUGUGUAGCGGUGAAAUGCGUAGAGAUAUGGAGGAACACCAGUGGCGAAGGCGGCUUCCUGGUCUGUAACUGACACUGAGGCGCGAAAGCGUGGGGAGCAAACAG
rnacentral:rRNA from 1 species